rnacentral:rRNA from 1 species
UGGGGAAUAUUGCACAAUGGGGGAAACCCUGAUGCAGCGACGCCGCGUGAGCGAAGAAGGUUUUCGAAUCGUAAAGCUCUGUCCUAUGAGAAGAUAAUGACGGUAUCAUAGGAGGAAGCCCCGGCUAACUACGUGCCAGCAGCCGCGGUAAUACGUAGGGCGCGAGCGUUGUCCGGAAUUAUUGGGCGUAAAGAGCUCGUAGGCGGUUUGUCGCGUCUGCUGUGAAAGACCGGGGCUUAACUCCGGGGCUGCAGUGGGUACGGGCAGGCUGGAGUGCGGUAGGGGUAACCGGAAUUCCUGGUGUAGCGGUGGAAUGCGCAGAUAUCAGGAGGAACACCGAUGGCGAAGGCAGGUUACUGGGCCGUUACUGACGCUGAGGAGCGAAAGCAUGGGGAGCAAACAGG